rnacentral:rRNA from 1 species
GUGCCAGCAGCCGCGGUAAUACGUAGGUGGCAAGCGUUAUCCGGAAUUAUUGGGCGUAAAGCGCGCGUAGGCGGUUUUUUAAGUCUGAUGUGAAAGCCCACGGCCCAACCGUGGAGGGUCAUUGGAAACUGGAAAACUUGAGUGCAGAAGAGGAAAGUGGAAUUCCAUGUGUAGCGGUGAAAUGCGCAGAGAUAUGGAGGAACACCAGUGGCGAAGGCGACUUUCUGGUCUGUAACUGACGCUGAUGUGCGAAAGCGUGGGGAUCAAACAGGAU